GGUUGAUCCUGCCAGUAAUAUAUGCUUGUCCCAAAGAUUAAGCCAUGCAUGUCCAAGUAUAAGCCAUAUUACGGUGAGACUGCGAACAGCUCCAUAAAUCAGUUAUAAUUUGCUUGAUGGGAACAAUUACAUGGAUAACCGUGGUAAUUCUAGAGCUAAUACAUGCCGACGGAGCAAUCCGUAGUAUUUGUUAGAUUAGGCCAACAAGAGUGGUGAGUCAUGACAACUGCGCAGAUCGCAGGAGGAAUCCGGCGACGCAUCAAAGAAAUGUCUGCCCUAUCAACUUUCGAUGG
rnacentral:rRNA from 1 species